GCGACCGUCUUCCAACGGAUAGGAUACGAGCCUCCGAAGCUCGCAAUACAGGUUCGAUUCCUGUCGGUCGCACCA
rnacentral:tRNA from 1 species